UACGUAGGUGGCAAGCGUUAUCCGGAAUUAUUGGGCGUAAAGAGCGCGCAGGUGGUUGAUUAAGUCUGAUGUGAAAGCCCACGGCUUAACCGUGGAGGGUCAUUGGAAACUGGUCGACUUGAGUGCAGAAGAGGGAAGUGGAAUUCCAUGUGUAGCGGUGAAAUGCGUAGAGAUAUGGAGGAACACCAGUGGCGAAGGCUGCUUCCUGGUCUGUAACUGACACUGAGGCGCGAAAGCGUGGGGAGCAAACAGGAUUAGA
rnacentral:rRNA from 1 species